AACGAACGCUGGCGGCAUGCCUAACACAUGCAAGUCGAACGAGACCUUCGGGUUUAGUGGCGCACGGGUGCGUAACGCGUGGGAAUCUGCCCUUCGGUUGGGAAUAACUGAGAGAAAUUUCAGCUAAUACCUUAUAAUGUCUUCGGACCAAAGAUUUAUCGCCGAGGGAUGAGCCCGCGUAGGAUUAGGUAGUUGGUGGGGUAAUGGCCUACCAAGCCGACGAUCCUUAGCUGGUCUGAGAGGAUGAUCAGCCACACUGGGACUGAGACACGGCCCAGACUCCUACGGGAGGCAGCAGUGGGGAAUAUUGGACAAUGGGCGAAAGCUUGAUCCAGCAAUGCCGCGUGAGUGAUGAAGGCCUUAGGGUUGUAAAGCUCUUUUACCAGGGAUGAUAAUGACAGUACCUGGAGAAUAAGCUCCGGCUAACUCCGUGCCAGCCGCCGCGGUAA
rnacentral:rRNA from 1 species